rnacentral:lncRNA from 1 species
AUGGGUUAUGGUGUGGAUAAUUUAAAUAAAACGGGAAACAAGUGGUUUUUGGUUCGGAGUCAAUGUUACUAUUAUUUUCACUGUGUCUGUUCAUUUUAUUUGUUUUGCUCUAUUAUUAUUUAUUUUUAUAGCUCGGGUUUUUCUUUGCUAUUCUUAUUUUUCAACUGAGUGCCUUUCUUUGGCCAUUGCUUCUUUUGAACCCUCGAGUUUAUUU